rnacentral:rRNA from 1 species
GAUGAACGCUGGCGGCGUGCUUAACACAUGCAAGUCGAACGGGAAACCUUUUAUUGAAGCUUCGGCAGAUUUAGCUGGUUUCUAGUGGCGGACGGGUGAGUAACGCGUGGGUAACCUGCCUUGUACAGGGGGAUAACAGUCAGAAAUGACUGCUAAUACCGCAUAAGCGCACAGGACCGCAUGGUCCGGUGUGAAAAACUCCGGUGGUAUAAGAUGGACCCGCGUUGGAUUAGCUUGUUGGUGGGGUAACGGCCCACCAAGGCGACGAUCCAUAGCCGGCCUGAGAGGGUGAACGGCCACAUUGGGACUGAGACACGGCCCAGACUCCUACGGGAGGCAGCAGUGGGGAAUAUUGCACAAUGGGGGAAACCCUGAUGCAGCGACGCCGCGUGAAGGAAGAAGUAUCUCGGUAUGUAAACUUCUAUCAGCAGGGAAG